rnacentral:rRNA from 1 species
GAUGAACGCUGGCGGCGUGCCUAAUACAUGCAAGUCGAACGAGGCCCUUUGUAUUCGUACGAAGGUGUCCUAGUGGCGAACGGGUGAGUAACACGUUGGUGACCUGCCCCAAAGAGAGGGACAACCCCGGGAAACUGGGGCUAAUACCUCAUGUGCUCCACGGUGUUAGAGGACCAUGGAGAAAAGGAGCAAUCCGCUUUGGGAGGGGCCUGCGGCCCAUCAGCUAGUUGGUAGGGUAACGGCCUACCAAGGCGACGACGGGUAGGGGGCCUGAGAGGGUGGUCCCCCACAAUGGCACUGAAACACGGGCCAUACGUCUACGGACGGCAGCAGUAGGGAAUAUUGCACAAUGGGCGAAAGCCUGAUGCAGCAACGCCGCGUGCGCGAUGAAGGCCUUCGGGUUGUAAAGCGCUUUUCUGGGGGAAGAGGAAGGACUGUACCCCAGGAAUAAGUUUCGGCUAACUACGUG